AACGAACGCUGGCGGCAGGCUUAACACAUGCAAGUCGAGCGCCCCGCAAGGGGAGCGGCAGACGGGUGAGUAACACGUGGGAACCUACCUGAAGGUACGGAACAACUCCGGGAAACUGGAGCUAAUACCGUAUGUGCCCGAAAGGGGAAAGAUUCAUCGCCUUCAGAUGGGCCCGCGUCAGAUUAGCUAGUUGGUGAGGUAACGGCUCACCAAGGCGACGAUCUGUAGCUGGUCUGAGAGGAUGAUCAGCCACACUGGGACUGAGACACGGCCCAGACUCCUACGGGAGGCAGCAGUGGGGAAUAUUGGACAAUGGGCGAAAGCCUGAUCCAGCCAUGCCGCGUGAGUGAUGACGGCCUUAGGGUUGUAAAGCUCUUUCGACGGGGACGAUAAUGACGGUACCCGUAGAAGAAGCCCCGGCUAACUUCGUGCCAGCCGCCGCAGUAAAAC
rnacentral:rRNA from 1 species